UCCACAGUGGUUGCACCAGUCUGCACUCCCACCAACAAUGGAGAAGGGUUCCUGAGAAAAGAUUUUUUGUAAUGAAAGAAUCCAACUACUUUUUCCAUUCUUGACACGUAUGGGAGGAGGAAACAAAAAUACAAAUGGCAGUGGGAAAAGAAAAUGGGGUAACUAACCAGGGGACAAUUGGCAAAUCCACAUGCCCCAGUUUAGGAAGAACCUGGUGUCUAUGUUUCUCAGCUACUUUUUAAGUCAUAGCACCUGAUACUGCUGAAAUAAAAAGUUUAGCUGUUCUCACUUCCUGAGGAGGUGCUGCGCCUCAUCAGUAAAGAACAAUGCAGUGAUUUCUGGGAGGAAUCCAGUCAUCCCCACUCGUCCACCUCGAGUCAUCCAGCACCCACUGAUUCCUGGCUCAGCUGGUAUCCCCAGCACCUAACUAAGAGGCUGGGCUGAAGAAUCUCGAAUCUGGAUUCAAAUCCCAGCUCCUUUCCUUGAAAGACUUGUCCCUUUGAAAGUUUAUUUAAUUUCCCUGAAUAUAGAUUUUUCCACUUUAUUCCUAAUUAUUAAUAUGGGCUUUGCUUUCAAGAUUUUCCUUGCUCAGAAUCUAAAUUUCUUUUAGGUCUAGACUGCCUAAAAGUAGGGGUUAGGCCUGCUGUAGUUAAAAUGACAUUUUUAGCAUUAAUCUGCUUGAUCUUUCUCUGUGAAAACAAGUUUCACUGAAUGACUUUACACAUUAGCUGUAUUAUAGUUUUAAAGAAAUGAAGUCUUCACUCUAGACCAAAUUUUAAAAAGAUGCUUUACUCUCUUCAGACAUAUCAAUAAUUCCUUUAAUACGUAUGUAUGUAAGAUGUAGGUUGUUUAGUUAAAACGGAUCUUUAUCAAUGAACUUAAGAGUUUAGAAGCUAGAGGGAGCCCUUGGGAGAGUCUGGCCUCAGUGUUUACAAGGAAGAAAUGAAGACCUACACAGAGAAGACGCCUGCCACACUGGGAUGUGGCCCCGACCAGAUUGUGCCGGCCUCUGCCCCCAUGUGAUGCUCGUUCCAAGCCAUCCAUUUCCUUGUUAAGAGAAAGGUAAAUCGUGCAAUGAAGUCACUUGCCCUGAAUGCUUUCCUUUCUAUUACCCAUGACCUGUUUUCCUUCUUCAAUGCAGGUCACCCAUCUCGCAUUCACUUCCGACCCAUCCUGGGCUAUCAGCCUUACAAUGCUCAGGCUCUUUUCUGACCUCAAGUUCAAAAGGUUUCUCAGUGCUGCCAGUGGUAAUUACAGUCUCCCACGCAGUUUUCCCACGGCCUUAUGAACAAAUACGAGCUGGUUAUUUCUGGCUUUGCUGCUUUGUUUUGUUUUUUUCUGUGAAGAACAUCUCCCGCUGGAAGCUUAGCAACACAGCGGAGCUGCUUGCUUAAUGAGGUCUUUGGUGUCUGACUCAUAUCCCUCACGUAAGUCACCAUUCCACACUCAUCAUCACUGACCUUGUAAAUGGCUUUAAAUGGACUCUUGGGGACGUGACCACCUGCUGUCACCCCCAGGGAAGAGGAUGAAGUAACUCACUCAUCAAAUUUUAAUUAAUGCCAUACACCGUGAAAGGACCUGGCAAGUCAAGACCACAACCAUGUGGUCCCUGGCCUCAAGAAGCACUUGUAAACAGGCACGCGUCCAGUGUCAGAGCAGGUGGAAGGUCAUGUGAAAGCAGGUGCUAGCAUGGGCAGGAUUAAAAAACUGAGCCCACCUGGGGUCUCUGAGAAUCUGCAUUUUCAACAAGCUUUCAACAAUGCUGGCUGCCCAUCCCAGGAAUCUCACUUCAAGUUGUACAGAUCUAGUCUAAUGCUAAUGCCACUAAAAACAAAAACAAAAAAAUCAGGCCUACUAAAUAUUGAAAAAAAAAAAAAGGCUGAAGGCUGUUCUUAGGUCUAAGAAGUUUUGUUUUGCUUUGCCUUGUUCUCAUACCUGCUACUCUUGGGUCUGCAGUGGACAAGAGGCAAUGGGAGAGCUGGGAAGGUUUCACCUGUGUAUGUGAACAACUUUAAGUGCCAGGGUUUUAGGGCAGUAGGAUGGGCUAGCAAUGGAGUGAGUUGAUCUAUCCCUAGAGUCCUUCUAGGAAAAAUAGGACAUGUUUUGAACUAGAUUAUUUAGAAGUUAUCCUCCCUAAAGGUAAAUGACCAAGCUUUUAAAAAUGUAGCAUAUGCUACAAACUAGUAUAGAUUAUUUCCUUCCAGUUUGUAAAACUGCUAGUGUAUUGAAGCCUUCAACUAUGCAGACAUUUUCUCCCUGUGACUUGUGGUCUGGCCUCAGGUUACACAUGAGGAGCAUCUUCUUGAGUCUGGGACAAUCACAUGCUCAGGUUAUAUGCUUUGUUUGGCUUGCCUCCCAGUCAGUUCAGUCAUCUUUCUCAGAUGAGUCUUAAGAAAUCCUCACCCUCUUGCACAUGGUGGUGCUUGAUCAGCAUCUUACACCCAUUUUGUACUUCAACUUUGCUUGUUCUUCUUAUGGGAAAGAGAUGAGCAUCAUGUCAAAGACUAGCAAAUAUAAAAUCUUUACCACCAUUUCUGAGAUUGAUGCUAGAAUGCAAACCAAGAUAUUGGGACGUAGGUCUCCAUGUGUGAUCCUAAACUGAGAUCGGUGAAUUUGAUAGCACCUGCUCCCAAUACAUCUCAGUCCUUCUCAGCAUGGAGCCCCAUGCAUUUAAAAGCCAGGUGCAGUACCUGCUUGCUGACUUGGUUGCAGCCAUUUUCAAAAACCACUCUGUAAUAAGUAUUCUGUACUUGAGGUCAGACACUUCCAAUUGGGAUUAGAAAAGCAAAGACUUAGAUCUUUAAUCCACUUCGAUCUUAGUUUAGUGCAUGGUGAUAGGUAUGGGUCUAGUUUUAAUCUUUGGGAGGUUGAAAUCCAGUUUUUCCAACACCAUUUGUUAAAUAGGCUAUCUUUCCUCCAAUGAAGGUGGUUGGCCCCUUUGUCAAA